UGAAAAACUAAGACACAGAGCAGUUAAAAGAUCUAAUGACAGAACUCAGAAUGGAACACAGGUCUCCUACUUCUAGACUCAUGUUUUUGAGGAGAUCCGUGGAUCAGCAUCUCUCCUGGUCAGGACCACAGAGGCCUUCCACCCGCUGUGUGAAGCCUCGUUGGAUGCCAGCUUCAAAAGCAAAAGAAACCAGCAUAUCAUUUGUCUUAUCUGUUCAGUGCCUAUGCAAUGCUUGGCAUAAAAAGGGGGAGAAUAAAUAAGAAGAAAGAGGUACAGAGAAGGAAUCAGAAAGAAAAGGAAAGAAGGAAAUCAAAAUAGAAAAGAGAAAAGGUGGGAAAGAGAGACAAAAGAGAAACAUUAGAGAGAAGAAAAGACAGCCAAAAAAGAAACAGG
rnacentral:lncRNA from 10 species